AAUGCUAAUGCUAGUAAUGCUAAUGCUAUUAAAAUAGCCACAUGUAGUCUGAUAUUAUCACUCAGUAUGUUGUUCUUGUAUGUUUAAUGUAUGUCAAACCUUUGGAGCUGUUAGAGUAAACCAGUGUUUAACAGAAUUUUAGAUAUGUAGGCCAAGAUGGAGGCAAAUGAAUGCUCUUUUUGCUUUUGAACAUUAUUAGCUUUGGCUGUGACUGAAAUCUCCACAAGAUGAAGAAGUUGCAUUCAUAUAUGGCUUUUUAACACAGAUGCAGGACUAAAAUGUAAGAUACUGUAUAUAUCUAAAAUACUUUAGCUCAAGGCCUAUGGGUGAAAGUGAAAGUUUAUAUUUGCCUGUGCAUAAAAGCUCCUCCUGUCAUGUGUUUCUCAGUGGAUAAGACUCACUUGGUUUAGUCUAUUUAAGAAUGUCUUACCUUUAAGUAUGUCAGAAUAGGGGAACUCCACUGGUUUUACACAUCAAAGUCUGUUUUCAUUGGGGAGUUCUGCUGCAUGUGAAAAAAGCUGUUGCGCACAGUUUAAAGCCUUUUGUGGCUCUAGAGGUAACCGUGCAAAAUCUGAUAAACUGCCUCAAGUGAUGUCACUUGACUUGCUGGGCCUGGCAACAAAAACUUUAAAAAUGUAAAAAUUCUGAAAUGAUCUUUCCAGACCUCUGUAAAAACCUUGUCCUGUAAGUUUCCCCACAGAUAGUGUUUGGUAAACUGCACCGUACAAUCAUGGCAUUUAUUGUCUCCGUCCCACUCCCCGGCAUGUAAUUAGGUGCACAAGACCACUUAGGUGGAACCACAAUCAUAUGAAAUAAUACAUAUAUACAUAAAACCAACACCAUAUGAAAAUAGCAGACAUAACUCAUAAUAAUCACAUAAAUCAGCAUUGUUUGUGUCUCUAUUACUCCCAUCAUCUAAAUGGUUUGCUCCUGGAGCUCUUAAACAGGUGCUUGGGUCUGCUUUAAACAUUUGCCUCCACUCCCUGCUGAAUAGACAACAGGAAGAGGCAGGAUGGCCCUUUGCUUCUUCAUCCCGCUCUGGAACCAAAGAAAUUUACCAAUUGUUGAACUAACUCAAUAAAGACUCAAAAUCAAUGUGUA